rnacentral:rRNA from 1 species
AGAGUUUGAUCUUGGCUCAGAAUCAACGCUGGCGGCGUGCCUAACACAUGCAAGUCGAACGCGAAAGGGGCUUCGGCCCUGAGUAGAGUGGCAAACGGGUGAGUAACGCGUGGGUGACCUGCCUUCGAGUGGGGGAUAACGUUUCGAAAGGGACGCUGAUACCGCAUGACAUCCUGCCUUUGAAGAGGCGGAGAUCAAAGCUGGGGAUCGCAAGACCUGGCGCUUGAAGAGGGGCCCGCGUCCGAUUAGCUAGUUGGUGGGGUAAUGGCCCACCAAGGCAACGAUCGGUAGCCGGCCUGAGAGGGCGGACGGCCACACUGGGACUGGGACACGGCCCAGACUCCUACGGGAGGCAGCAGUGGGGAAUUGUUCGCAAUGGGCGCAAGCCUGACGACGCAACGCCGCGUGGAGGAUGAAGAUCUUCGGGUCGUAACUCCUGUCGAAUGGGACGAACGGAUUGCGGGUUAAUAGCCCGCGAUCGUGACGGUACCGUUAGAGGAAACCCCGGCUAACUCCGUGCCA